rnacentral:rRNA from 1 species
UACGUAGGGUGCAAGCGUUGUCCGGAAUUAUUGGGCGUAAAGGGCGCGUAGGCGGCCGAAUAAGUCUGACGUGAAAUCCCACGGCCCAACCGUGGAACUGCGUUUGAUACUGUUCGGCUCGAGUCCGGGAGAGGGUAGCGGAAUUCCCAGUGUAGCGGUGAAAUGCGUAGAUAUUGGGAGGAACACCGGUGGCGAAGGCGGCUACCUGGACCGGUACUGACGCUGAGGCGCGAAAGCUAGGGUAGCAAACAGG